AGAGCAAGAAAAUCAGACAAAGCCUCUGCUGCAACGAAUGUAAAAACGUCAGUGAAAGUGAGUGCCCAUGUUUGAAUCGCGUCGCUGCCGUCGCACCUUCCUCACCCUCAUCAUCAGCGGACAUCGUGAAGGCUAGGCAUUGAGGACAGUCUGGAUGGUACACUCCCUCUUCCAUGCCUAGAAAUGGAAGAAUGGGCCUCUGCCACAACAGGCCGACAUCCACAACUGUUUGGCUGCACGUAACAACCGGGGUUAAUUUUCUCAUUUUCUAUGAACGUUUUUCACUUCAUCAUGCCAAAAUUCUGGCUUAUUUCACUAAAGUGAUCGCAACAAGAAGAGAAAGAUUGAAUGUUGUGUCUAGUCCAUUCCAGUGUUUGCAUCGCGUUGUAAUACACCUGAUCAUAGUAUUAGAGUCAAGCUGUACCACUUAAGACCCCCCGGGGACUUUGUCCCCGUGACGUUUCCACUGUUGCCGUUGCACUUAUUCGUGCUUACCUAUUGCUUUGAUUCAGCAUGUGAAAUCCACUCUGCAAAAUACUGCACAUUGUUUCAGUGUUGUGGGUAAAAUUCUUAGUGCACUGCACCAGGGGUCUGGUCGUUAAUGACUCCUCGCUGGCAAGUGCCGACCCGCCUGUAAUGAUUUCCUGAUUGAUUUACCUGUUGAAUAAUUAAUUGUUCGCUCUCAGUCUCUUUAAUAAUUUAAUUAGUGUGGAGGUAGAAUUGCUUGUUAAUAGUUUUUGCUUUUAUACCAGUGUAUGUAUGUGCAGUCUCCAGAUUUUUUCUUCUGGUUGUCUUUUUUCCCGUUAAAAAUAUUUUUGAUUAACACAAAUUUGGACCGGAACCGAGUGCUUUAAAUACUGCAUCAGAUAUUGGGGAACUCACUUAACAUUUAUAAAAUGAUCGAAACAUUGUGUUAAAGUAAUUACUAGAUCAUGCAUCAGUAUAAAUAUUCUGUAGCACCUUACCACUUACACUAAGGCUAAUAUUCACAUUGUUUUAAGAAAUUUGUUAUGCACCUUCGUUUUAAUUUUGUCGAGUAUAUGUGUAUAACAGUAUUAUUGUUAAUUUAGUAGCACUAUGUGAAACUCUAAUAAUACCACUUGACCAUCAGGCAUCUCAACAUAACGAUACUAGCAAGGGUUCAUAAACAUUGGCGAUGUAGUUCUCAUACAUCAUCCUCGGCAUCAUGUGCACUGAGACAGAUGAGCGUUUACCAACUGAUCAUUACAGGUCAAGUAAUAAAUAAUUUGUGAUUACUACAA